rnacentral:lncRNA from 1 species
AUGCACCUCACGAUGGAGUUCCCGAAAUUGACGGAUCGAGAAUGGGCGAUGUACAUAAUGUUUGGAGUCGGUAUGUUCGCGAUCAUGGUUCAACUCAUAUUCAUAAUCGUUCUGUGCCACUGGGUGCGCAAAUUACGGAUGGAGUUCUCACUAAUUCAGUUCCCGCUGAGCAGUCCUGGCCCAAUCCCGGGGGAUGAGCUCUACCAGAGACAGUUCGUCCAGUUCCCGCGAGUGCACACCAAAUACCGUACUGAUAAAGAGGCUGUGUAAACUUCCACCUGUAUUUUAGUUCUUACCCACCCACAUUUGCCUAACACAUUUUGAUCUCAUACCCUUACUUAAGAGCCUCCCCGGUUGAACAGAAAUUAUUUCUGAGGUAGUUCAAAGAGAUAUUUUCUCCGUUUCCGUGAAAAUAUAAUCUUGGGAUACUUAUUUGGACGUUGCCAUCAAGUAUGCUGGAUUUGACAAUAUGCUCAACGAUAUUUUUUAAACGUUUUUGAUAAAAACAUUGAUGGUACUCGUUAGUUUGUUAAGAAGUUAUCGAGUAUUUUUGGUAGUUACCUGGGAGCGUUUUUAUAAUUUUGGUGAAAAUAUUGUCAGGAAAAUAUUUUUAAAAUUGAUUCUUUUGUAAGAUUACAUACCUAUACUGUGUGAAUAUAAAUAGAUUUAAUUUUCAUUACUUAUAUUUUCGUAAUAAUAGUAAUAUGAUUACCAAGAAUAUCCUGACUAUCUUGGCAAUAUUUUUAAAAUAUUAUUAUUACAUCAUCGACAAUGGCGCUGAGUUAUAGGGUGAGGCAUUAUUUUAUAGAAUGCCAAGAUUGACAAAGCCCUGCUUGCAACAAUUACUCUUGAAAAAUUAUGUGUUAAAUACAGGUUAUAAUCAUGGAUUUCAUUCAGAACUGCACAUGUCCUUGCACUUAUUAUCUUAACCUUCAUUUUUUUCUGAUCCAGUGAAAAAACUUGUUUUAGAGACAACUCUAUUCAAAAUAUACAUACAAAACGACAAAAGGGUUUAUUGCAGACUGGACAUGGAUCCGAGUUAUAAGUAAUGCUAGUAGGAGAAUUUGAACUGAGGAUUGGAAUAGGGCAGUGACAAGAAAUUUUUACAAGACUUGCAGUAAGUUGAAAAAACUAGAAAGUUCAAAAAAUAAUUUCUAAGAGGAAAAAAAGCUCACCGAAAUUCAACCGAUCAAAAGCUGACUGUCGAGUUGUCAUAGCAUGGCAAAGUCUGAAGCUGAAUUCAGCCAAGCAGCAAAUCGACGGUGAAACUACCAAACCACGUAUUUCGGUUUGCGACGUCGCAGAUUUCCUGUCAUACUUUAUUUUUUAUAUGAAAAACUACUUAACGUCCAGUCUUGAAAAUUUCUGUGAUUUUUCCUCUUUGUGCAGAGAAAAUUCUGUGAAAAUUUCAAGGAAUGAUAUUGAUUUGUUCUACUUCAAAAAAAUAAAAUGCGAGCGUAGAUUUUUAAACACCGCAAACGAGAUACGUGGUUUGGUAGUUACACCGUCGAAAUACAGUUUCCCCAUUUGCCUACGUCAUCGGUGCCCACCAAAAACAUAGUUUCAAACAGGUCCUAUUUGUAGCAUUUUCAAAAUGAGGUCUCUUUAGCAAUGAGGGUUCAAAAAAAUUUAGAAAAAUUGCUAGAGGCUUAGAUCACUCCUUACUUUCGGACGAUAAAUUUAAAAAAAAAAAAAAAAAAAAAAAAAAAAAUUGCCACUGACCCAUUGGUUGAUCAUCUGAAAUAUUCAAAUAAAAUACAUGUAAGUUUCAAAUUUUCUUUUCAUCCAAGGCUGAUACGCUGGAAACUUAUUGUAGGUAUUAAUUGAUUGAAGGUUAUAAAUAGGCCUUUUUGCAGAGAAAACUAAACAUUUUGGUUUUUAUCAUGGUCACCACUUCUCUCAUGCUUCUGAGUAGUGAAAGAUAACUUUUUUAGGACAAAUUAAAUACCUAAUUAAUUGAUUUGGAACAAUGAACAAAUCACUGAGAAUUGAUGGAUCAAAAUUUUAUUCAAAAUAAUAAAGGCACAUCUGAUGGAACACAAGUAGGUAUUUAUAAUAUCAUAGAUAAAAAUAGCAUACUAAAUAUUAUUUUCCAACAGAGUUACUUUCUGCUAAGAAUAAUUAUCUUUAUGUUACACCAUUACCAAGUAAUUUUUUAUGGACAUCUUUUUUAUUAAUGUUUCUCAGACUUGAAAAUUACAGGUUUGGAGAAAGAGAACAAUUUUAAGUAUCUAAAGUUAAGAGCAGCUUAUAGGGCUGCAAAAAGUAAGUCACUAUACUUUGAAGCACCCUAGUACAAAGACAAAAAUUAUACCUAACAAUAUUUACCCUGCUUCCAGUAGAGAUGAUUAGAAAUAAGAUUCGAUACCUACAAGAAAUUAAAUAAAAUACAGGGGACUGACAAAAUGCACUAUAAGACAUUAAUGAAAGAGCUAGACACAAUUUCUUUAGAAAUUUUAAUCCAUAGUAGAAGACUUUUCCUCCUGCCGCUUUGUGGGAAUCUUUCUAAUAAUUUUAAUUGCUUGCAAUUUUUCUUAAAAUUUAAGAACUGUCUUUCAAAUUCUUAUUAAAGAGGUAAGUCAGUUUGAACUCGUAUGCUUGUGCAUGAUAAAAGUUAUUUCAAGUGGAGUAAAGAAAAAUAGUAACAUUAUGAAAAUCAUCAUAAUGGAGACAAUAGAGAAAAAAAUAAAUCUAUGAUUGGAAAACUAAAAUAAUUAGUUGAUUCAAAGAAAGGAACACUUUAAAAUUAUAAAGAAAAGUAACACUAUAAAGAAAUAAAAAAGUAAAUGAAUUCUUUAUCAACUUAAAACAUAAAGGAACUCUUCACAGUCACAAUUUAAAAUAAAAGGAACUUUUUCUUUGAAAACAUAGAAGUAAAUUAUUUUCUAGAGGCUAAAACAGACUAAUCUGAAGUAGGAAAAUGUUAUCACUUUGACAAGUCAUUUCACCACUUGAAAAAAGAAAAUUCUGAAAAAACAGGAAAUUAACCUGUGUGAGAUUGGAAUCUAUAGAAUCAAG